rnacentral:rRNA from 1 species
CAGCAGCCGCGGGAAUACGUAGGUGGCAAGCGUUGUCCGGAAUUAUUGGGCGUAAAGGGCUCGCAGGCGGUUUCUUAAGUCUGAUGUGAAAGCCCCCGGCUCAACCGGGGAGGGUCAUUGGAAACUGGGAAACUUGAGUGCAGAAGAGGAGAGUGGAAUUCCACGUGUAGCGGUGAAAUGCAUAGAGAUGUGGAGGAACACCAGUGGCGAAGGCGACUCUCUGGUCUGUAACUGACGCUGAGGAGCGAAAGCGUGGGGAGCGAACAGGAUUAGAUACCCGAGUAGUCCCUGUCUCUUAUAC